rnacentral:rRNA from 1 species
GACAGAGGGUGCAAACGUUGCUCGGAAUUACUGGGCGUAAAGCGCGUGUAGGCGGGUCGGUAAGUCAGGCGUGAAAGCCCUGGGCUCAACCCAGGAACUGCGUUUGAAACUGCCGAUCUUGAGUAGUGGAGAGGGAAGUGGAAUUCCUGGUGUAGAGGUGAAAUUCGUAGAUAUCAGGAGGAACACCGGUGGCGAAGGCGGCUUCCUGGACACUAACUGACGCUGAGACGCGAAAGCGUGGGGAGCAAACAGGAUUAGAUACCCUAGUAGU